CUUUACGGAUAAUUGCGCACUUGCUAGACAAGUGUGAGGAAAGUCCAUGCUUGCACAGGCUGCGAUGCCUGUAGUGUUCGUGCGUAGUGAAAUCAUAAGCUACGGCCCUGGAAUAGGUGACGGCAGAUAAACAGGCUAAGGUUCGCUAUGUCUAAGUAGUCUUGAAAAGUGCCACAGUGACGAAGCGCCUAGAGAAAUCUUGGCGGUGGAACGGGUAAACCCCUCGAGCAAGCAACUCAAACAUAAUGGUAGAGGCACUUCCAAAGCAGAAAUGAAUGAUGCGGAAGAUAGGUAACACUAUAGACAGAUGAUUAUCUCGAAGAAACGAGCCUAGCGUUUCUUUAGACAGAACAUGGCUUAUAGUG
rnacentral:RNase_P_RNA from 1 species